UACGUAGGGUGCAAGCGUUGUCCGGAAUUAUUGGGCGUAAAGAGCUCGUAGGCGGUCUGUCGCGUCUGCUGUGAAAACUCAGGGCUUAACCCUGAGCUUGCAGUGGGUACGGGCAGACUAGAGUGCGGUAGGGGAGACUGGAAUUCCUGGUGUAGCGGUGAAAUGCGCAGAUAUCAGGAGGAACACCGGUGGCGAAGGCGGGUCUCCGGGCCGAUACUGACGCUGAGGAGCGAAAGCGUGGGGAGCGAACAGG
rnacentral:rRNA from 1 species